CGCGGGAGCGCGUGGCUCCGCAGCGAGGGAGCGUGCCGCCUUAGCGGUACAAUCGCGACCGAGACGCAGGACCAAAUCCUGCCCCCGCAACCA
rnacentral:tRNA from 1 species